UCUUUUUGUCAUUUCCCCAUCCUUACCAUUGAAGGAGGCAGGAUCACUAUAAGCUCCACAGAACCACUAAAGUCUCCCCUUAAACCCUAAUGAGUUCCUAAUUCCUCCUCAUGAGCUGCCGUUUGGAUCCCGUUUCCUUUCUUUCCUCUGAAGCUGCUUUCUAAAGGACUUGGCUGUCUGGAAAAGCCACCAGACCUGGUGUGUGACCCCAUUCCCAUCACACAUUGGCACGGACAUGGGAUUAUGGGAUCCUGCAUCGCCUGUUCCCAUGUCCUCAGAGCGGCAGCGUCCCAUUAACAAUCCAGGAAUAUGUGGCAUGGGCUCAUUCCCACAUGGAAGCAGGCGGCUUAGCUGUCCUGGUGGAGGAGAGCCAGGCAUUCCAAUGGGGAUUCCUGCACUUCCCGGCCAGCAGGGAGAUGUUUCUGGAUAACAGAGGAUUCCAUGGAGGCAAUUGGUGGAGCUGAACUUCUCCAAGCCCCUCUCCAUCAGAGCACGUCAAGGACCAGAUGGGGACUUCUCCCCUCGAUUAAGCUGAGCUUAAUAUAACGAUGCCAUCAAACCCCAGCCCAUCUGCAUCCCCACGCACCUCCAGCCCCUGCUGCUGUCUCAGUGCAGGGAUGUGAUCCCCUCCUUGGCACAGCUUUGGCAUUGUCCAAACCCCCCCCAGCCCCAUGUUCACACUGCAGCAGAUGGCACCACAGUGACACAGGGACCUCCGCUCAGCUCCAAGCAGGAUGAGCUCUAUUCCUGCUGGAUGGUGGCCC